UAGAAACCCAGAAGUUGAUGACAGCAGUGCUCAGAAGGGCUGGUGGUUUCUGAGCUGGUUUAACAAUGGGAUCCACAAUUAUCAACAAGGGGAAGAAGACAUAGACAAAGAAAAAGGAAGAGAGGAGACCAAAGGAAGGAAAAUGACACAACAGAGCUUCGGCUAUGGGACUGGUUUAAUCCAAACUUGAAGGAAUCCGAAUAACUAAACUGGACUCUGGUUUUCUGACUCAGUCCUUCUAGAAGACCUGGACUGAGAGAUCAUGCGGUUAAGGAGUGUGUAACAGGCGGACCACCUGUUGGGACUGCGAGAUUCUCAAGGGGAAGGACUGGGUCUCAUUUCUCCCAUCUCAGCGCUUAGCAGGAUGACCUGGUAUAGAGCAGGGAACUGGGAAAUGUGGGUCAGGGGAUCAGACACUCCAGUUGGGUCUUUUAUAUAAAUUAAAUGGCAAAAGGCUCCAUACCCUUCUCCUUCUUUCCUACCCUCCACUUUAUCUGCAAAAUGGGAAUGAUGAUAACACCCACUUCAUAGAAUGGUCAUGAAGAUCAAAUGAGAGAAUAAAAGUCAAGCACUUAGCCUCUGGUGCACAAUAAGUAUUAAAUAAGUAUACCUAUUCCUCCUUUUCCUUUUUUAAAAAUAAUAUUACCAAAUGUCCAGCUUAUACACAUUUACAAGACUUAGCUAGUGGGCUAUGUUAGAGCUACUAAAAGAUCUUUGACAAGCUAAAACUAAGAUGCAAUGAAUGAGGUGUAACGAACAAGAGAGUUUUAAGUUCAGAAAUGGUUACAGAAGUAUAAGACAGCUGUGUGGGUGUUUUUUGGUUUUUGGUUUCUGGUUUACAAUCUCGUCAUUCAACAAAGAUGGGAGUUUUAUAGAACUAAAAGCACCAUGUAAGCUACUAAAAACAACAACAAAAAAGGCUCAUCAUUUCUCAGUCUGAAUUGACAAAAAUGCC
rnacentral:lncRNA from 10 species